rnacentral:lncRNA from 1 species
ACACGCUACUCUUUGAUCCCCCAACAAUACUAAGCAGGAAAGACAGUGGUGUCCUUGGCUCCAGAACCAGUAUUCCCACACUGCCUCCAGGAUGUCAGCUAGAGCCAUAGAGAGCGGGGAAGGCCAUGCCUUGGGCUCCCUCCUGCUAGAAUUGCUGCAGGAAGAGGAAGAAGAACCUUCCGAGUCAAGCAACCAGACCUCCUAUGGCUCUUCUCCUGGGAAGCCACCAAAGGGACCACAUCAGGGACGAGAUGACUUUGGUUCUGACCCCAGAGAUCCACCCAAUUUCUACCAUUAUGCAGGCAUGACGGCAGCUGCUGUGAUUGGAGGAGUCGUGGCCGUGAGGGCUGUGCCUGAGUUGCUGGACACCGUGGGCUUCACCAGAACAGGAAUCUCCCGCUCCUCCUUAGCAGCCAAGAUGAUGUCAUCAACUGCCAGAGCCAAUGGGGGCGGAGUUCCCUCUGGCAGCCUAGUCUCCAACCUCCAGUCCAAGGGGGCAACUGGACUUUCCACACCAACCAACAUCCUCCUGGGAUCUGCUGGGGCACUUUUGGGGGCCUUGCUGUGGGAUUCCUACAGCUCCUCCAGGAGGACCCAGUACUAA